rnacentral:rRNA from 1 species
UCAAUAAGCGGAGGAAAAGAAACCAACAGGGAUUGCCUUAGUAGCGGCGAGUGAAGCGGCAAAAGCUCAAAUUUGAAAUCUGGCACCUUCGGUGUCCGAGUUGUAAUUUGAAGAUUGUAACCUUGGGGUUGGCUCUUGUCUAUGUUUCUUGGAACAGGACGUCACAGAGGGUGAGAAUCCCGUGCGAUGAGAUGCCCAAUCCUAUGUAAGGUGCUUUCGAAGAGUCGAGUUGUUUGGGAAUGCAGCUCUAAGUGGGUGGUAAAUUCCAUCUAAAGCUAAAUAUUGGCGAGAGACCGAUAGCGAACAAGUACAGUGAUGGAAAGAUGAAAAGAACUUUGAAAAGAGAGUGAAAAAGUACGUGAAAUUGUUGAAAGGGAAGGGUUUGAGAUCAGACUCGAUAUUUUGUGAGCCUUGCCUUCGUGGCGGGGUGACCCGCAGCUUAUCGGGCCAGCAUCGGUUUGGGCGGUAGGAUAAUGGCGUAGGAAUGUGACUUUGCUUCGGUGAAGUGUUAUAGCCUGCGUUGAUGCUGCCUGCCUAGACCGAGGACUGCGAUUUGAAACAGGAU